GGGUGACAUGAUGGCAUACCAUUCUUUCGGGACUGACUCUUCAUGUUGGGAGCUCUUGACACACCGAUCACUC